GAAACUUUAAAAGUUAGUAAAAUAGCAUGCGGAAAAAAUAAAUCAAAUGAGAUGGUCUCCAUGAUAUUUGGACAGCUUUCGAACGCGUACUGCAUGACAGAAGAUAUGCAAGCCGCUAUAAAGUAUAGAGAACUUGUAAUAAGAAUGAAGAUGGAUCUGCAUUCAUCAAACCCAUUUCAUGAACAUAUAUCCCUGAAUUUGAUGAUGUUGGCCUUUUAUUCCU